rnacentral:lncRNA from 1 species
GGAGAGGGAAAAUGGAAAGGCGGGGCAGCUCGGGGGCUGCUUCAGAAAUCCAGGAGAGCGGUGGGAGUGCAGCCUCUGUCCAGGCAGAGGGGCAUCGUGGACACGAACCUAAGGACGUAGCCUCCUGGUGCGGGGGCAGGGACCCUGGCAGAGGCUUCUGCAGCUGGGAGGAGGCCACCUCUUCUUUGCGGGCUGGAGGCCAGGCUGGGUAUGAAGCUGGAUGCUGAAGAGACAAGGAUGAGCAGAAACAGAUGAGGCCUCUGCCACUCCGGAGCAAGCAUGGUUAAUACUGGGAGAGGUCUGAACAGAUGUAAAAAGAUGCCGUGCUUAGCACUGUAAAGUGCUGUCCCUAGUGCAGCGAGAAGGUAAAUCAGCACAGGUCAGGUGGUUCCACGCCCACCCACCCCACCCCACCCCCGGAGGUCACGGGUCGACAGGUCCUUGACCUUCUCCCCAACUGCAUCACAUUCCUUUGCUUUGAAGGUUAUGGAUCUUUACCUGCUCCUCCCUGUUCAUGGCACCUGCCUCCUGCACACAGCAGGUGCUUAGUGUGUUUUUGAUGGCUAACCUGAUGCCAUGGCAUGUUCGUUGGCCGUUUUGGUGAUGGCAGCCAAGUGGGCACUGACUGGCUUUUCUUUAGAGACCUACGGAUGGGCAUCUUGGUGAUAGCGGGACAGCAGCGCCACAGCCUGGCUGGUUAUCACACCCACCGCGUGGACCCUCAGCCCUCAGACGGAAUGUCAUUGACACUUGUCCUUUUAUAAAAGCACAAAUCGGAGUUCCCUGGUGGCCAAGCAGUUAAGAAUCUGGCGUUGUUGUCACUGCUGUGGCUUGGGUUUGAUCCCUAGCCUGGGAACUUCCCAAUGCUGUAGGUGCAAUCAAAAAAAUUUUUUUUGUUUUUAAUUAAAAAAUAGAAAAGCAUAAAUCACUGUGCUCUUUUGCUAAUGUACACUGAAGAUCUAUAUGCUUAUUUCCUCUUGUUUUUCAGGGCAACUUUCACUGAUGCACCAGAUUAUCAAGGGAAAUGGGGAGCGAGGGUUCAGUGUGGACAGGGUUUUUCUCUUUGGGAACUGAAUGAAAAAUUUCUGAAACUGAAUAGUGGAGAUGGUUGUACAAUAUUGUGAAGGUAAUUUAAUGCCACCAAAAUACACAAUUAAAAUGGUUAAAAUG